rnacentral:rRNA from 1 species
UACAGAGGGUGCGAGCGUUAAUCGGAAUUACUGGGCGUAAAGCGUGCGUAGACGGCUAUCUAAGUCGGGUGUGAAAGCCCCGGGCUCAACCUGGGAAUUGCAUUCGAGACUGAAUAGCUAGGGUACGGUAGAGGGAAGCGGAAUUUCCGGUGUAGCGGUGAAAUGCGUAGAUAUCGGAAGGAACAUCAGUGGCGAAAGCGGCUUCCUGGACCAGUACCGACGUUCAGGCACGAAAGCGUGGGGAGCAAAC